CGGGGGGGGCAAGCGUUGUUCGGAAUUACUGGGCGUAAAGGGCUCGUAGGCGGCCAACUAAGUCAGACGUGAAAUCCCCAGGCUCAACCUGGGAACUGCGUCUGAUACUGGUUGGCUUGGAUCCGGGAGAGGGAUGCAGAAUUCCAGGUGUAGCGGUGAAAUGCGUAGAUAUCUGGAGGAAUACCGGUGGCGAAGGCGGCAUCCUGGACCGGCAUUGACGCUGAUGAGCGAAAGCCAGGGGAGCAAACGGGAUUAGAUACCCCGGUAGUCCUGGCCCUAAACGAUGAAUGCUUAGUGUAACGGGUAUCGAUCCCUGUUGUGCCGAAGCUAACGCAUUAAGCAUUCCGCCUGGGGAGUACGGUCGCAAGGCUG
rnacentral:rRNA from 1 species